rnacentral:rRNA from 1 species
GACGGAGGGUGCAAGCGUUGUUCGGAUUGACUGGGCGUAAAGGGCGUGUAGGCGGUUGGUCAAGUCUGAUGUGAAAGCCCGGGGCUCAGCCCCGGAAGGGCAUCGGAAACUAGCCAGCUGGAGCGCGAUAGAGGAGGGUGGAAUUCCUGGUGUAGCGGUGAAAUGCGCAGAUAUCAGGAGGAACACCGGUGGCGAAGGCGGGUCUCUGGGCCGAUACUGACGCUGAGGAGCGAAAGCGUGGGGAGCGAACAGG